GCGGGCGGGUGCUUAUACAUGCAGUCGAACGAACUCUGGUAUUGAUUGGUGCUUGCAUCAUGAUUUACAUUUGAGUGAGUGGCGAACUGGUGAGUAACACGUGGGAAACCUGCCCAGAAGCGGGGGAUAACACCUGGAAACAGAUGCUAAUACCGCAUAACAACUUGGACCGCAUGGUCCGAGUUUGAAAGAUGGCUUCGGCUAUCACUUUUGGAUGGUCCCGCGGCGUAUUAGCUAGAUGGUGGGGUAACGGCUCACCAUGGCAAUGAUACGUAGCCGACCUGAGAGGGUAAUCGGCCACAUUGGGACUGAGACACGGCCCAAACUCCUACGGGAGGCAGCAGUAGGGAAUCUUCCACAAUGGACGAAAGUCUGAUGGAGCAACGCCGCGUGAGUGAAGAAGGGUUUCGGCUCGUAAAACUCUGUUGUUAAAGAAGAACAUAUCUGAGAGUAACUGUUCAGGUAUUGACGGUAUUUAACCAGAAAGCCACGGCUAACUACGUGCCAGCAGCCGCGGUAAUACGUAGGUGGCAAGCGUUGUCCGGAUUUAUUGGGCGUAAAGCGAGCGCAGGCGGUUUUUUAAGUCUGAUGUGAAAGCCUUCGGCUCAACCGAAGAAGUGCAUCGGAAACUGGGAAACUUGAGUGCAGAAGAGGACAGUGGAACUCCAUGUGUAGCGGUGAAAUGCGUAGAUAUAUGGAAGAACACCAGUGGCGAAGGCGGCUGUCUGGUCUGUAACUGACGCUGAGGCUCGAAAGUAUGGGUAGCAAACAGGAUUAGAUACCCUGGUAGUCCAUACCGUAAACGAUGAAUGCUAAGUGUUGGAGGGUUUCCGCCCUUCAGUGCUGCAGCUAACGCAUUAAGCAUUCCGCCUGGGGAGUACGGCCGCAAGGCUGAAACUCAAAGGAAUUGACGGGGGCCCGCACAAGCGGUGGAGCAUGUGGUUUAAUUCGAAGCUACGCGAAGAACCUUACCAGGUCUUGACAUACUAUGCAAAUCUAAGAGAUUAGACGUUCCCUUCGGGGACAUGGAUACAGGUGGUGCAUGGUUGUCGUCAGCUCGUGUCGUGAGAUGUUGGGUUAAGUCCCGCAACGAGCGCAACCCUUAUUAUCAGUUGCCAGCAUUAAGUUGGGCACUCUGGUGAAAC
rnacentral:rRNA from 1 species